AUGUAAUGCAACGCUUUGGGAGCGUGAUUGUUAAUAUUUGUAGAAGCAAACUCUAUAUAAGCGUGCCCUAAAUAUUUUCUAAAAAUUCCUGCUAUAAUUUCCCCCUAAAAUUUUUACUGAAAAAUUAUGCCCUAAAAUAUUCGCUAAAACCUGUCUCUCAUGUUCACAAGAAAAUCUCCUUUUUUUCUUCCUUAAAAUUCUAUAAUCAAAGUUGAGGGCUCUUCUCGUAUCUUUUAGCAGAUUGAUUGAAGCAAAUUAGAGUGAGUUCAAUUAAAUCUAUUGGGUUAUGUGGAAAUCGCUUAUGGAGAUGCUAAACUUUGUCUCGGUUAUGUGCCAUCCGAUUCAAUUGGGAAUCUCAUUGUUUAGGGUUUACUAUCGUUUAUCAAAACUUGGAUAAGAUGACUGCUAAUUUUGAAAUUAAGCUCUAUUAUUUUGUGAUGGGAGGUUAUUAUUCUUGAAAGGUGAAUGCUCUUCUUCUUUCAUACAGUAUUUGCUCUUUAGAGCAGGUUGAAAUAAUUGGGGAUUUCAUUGUUUAGGGAUUACAGCCGCAUCCAAAAACUUGGGUAAGACGACUUCUAAUUUUGAAGUUAAGCACUAUUAAUUCGUGAUGGAUGUUAUUAUUCUUGAAAGGUGGUGGAAGUAAUUUAUUGUUGAUUGAGGAGUAUUCAUCUGAUACACUCGUCUAUUGAGUGGCAAUCUUCGGACUUCUAGCAGUUUUAACUCCCCAAGGGAUACAGGGCGACUCUAGGUUCAAGGCUCCAAUCGUUCAUGCACUUUCGUAGAGGGAAGUUCUGGCGAGCAAUUGGAAAUAGUGGCCAAAGACAAUCUCAUCUAUGGGAAUUUAGUGAUGACAUUGGACAGUUAAAAUUUUUGUAUUCAUGAUAUUAUAGUAGUACGUUUGGAUUUGUAAAGUUGAAAUACUAGCAUGCCACUUGAAACAAUUUGCUUUAUGCAUUAAUGUAGUACACGAGAUUUAUUCUCUUUUGAAUUA